CAAGUCGAACGGACUAUGAGGGCUUGCUCUUAUAGGUUAGUGGCGAACGGGUGAGUAACGCGUGGGGGAUCUGCCCCUGGAGUGGGGAACAACAGUUGGAAACGACUGCUAAUACCGCAUACGCCCUGAGGGGGAAAGGCUUCGGCCGCUCUUGGAUGAUCCCCGCGUCUGAUUAGCUUGUUGGUGAGUAACGGCCUACCAAGGCGACGAUCAGUAGCUGGUCUGAGAGGAUGAUCAGCCACACUGGGACUGAGACACGGCCCAGACCCC
rnacentral:rRNA from 1 species